AGUGAACGCUGGCGGUAGGCCUAACACAUGCAAGUCGAACGGCAGCACAGUAAGAGCUUGCUCUUACGGGUGGCGAGUGGCGGACGGGUGAGGAAUACAUCGGAAUCUACUUUUUCGUGGGGGAUAACGUAGGGAAACUUACGCUAAUACCGCAUACGACCUACGGGUGAAAGCAGGGGAUCUUCGGACCUUGCGCGAUUGAAUGAGCCGAUGUCGGAUUAGCUAGUUGGCGGGGUAAAGGCCCACCAAGGCGACGAUCCGUAGCUGGUCUGAGAGGAUGAUCAGCCACACUGGUACUGAGACACGGUCCAGACUCCUACGGGAGGCAGCAGUGGGGAAUAUUGGACAAUGGGCGCAAGCCUGAUCCAGCCAUACCGCGUGGGUGAAGAAGGCCUUCGGGUUGUAAAGCCCUUUUGUUAGGAAAGAAAAGCAGCAGGUUAAUACCCCGCUGUUCUGACGGUACCCAAAGAAUAAGCACCGGCUAACUUCGUG
rnacentral:rRNA from 1 species